rnacentral:pre_miRNA from 1 species
GAUUUCAAGUGAAAAAGUCAUCAAUAAUAAAGUGGUAUUACUCAUCAAGAUCUAUAACUUUUGUUUUGGUCAUUUCGUCAUCUGACAAAGUGAUUUGUAAGAUUGUUCACAAAAUGUACAUAUCUCUUAUAUAGUUUGUAGAGAUAUGUAAAUUUUGUGAAAAUAUUAUUAUCACAUUGUCAAAUAAAGAAAUAACCAAAAUAGAAAUUAUAGAUCCUGAUGAGUUAUACAACUUUGUUGUUGAUGACUUUUUCAGCUGAAAUG